rnacentral:rRNA from 1 species
GUGCCAGCAGCCGCGGUAAUGCGUAGGUCGCAAGCGUUGUCCGGAUUUACUGGGCGUAAAGAGCGCGCAGGCGGCUGGUCAAGUCCGAUGUGAAAUCUCCCGGCUCAACUGGGAAACUGCAUCGGAAACUGAUCGGCUUGAAGAUGGGAGAGGGUAGUGGAAUUCCCGGUGUAGUGGUGAAAUGCGUAGAUAUCGGGAGGAACACCAGUGGCGAAGGCGACUACCUGGCCCAUUCUUGACGCUGAGGCGCGAAAGCUAGGGGAGCGAACGGGAUUAGAUACCCCGGUAGUCCUAGCCGUAAACGAUGAACACUAGGCGUAGUCGGUAUCGACCCCGGCUGUGCCGUAGCUAACGCAUUAAGUGUCCCGCCUGGGGAGUACGGCCGCAAGGCUAAA